AUGGGCCGGGUCUACCCGCGCCGUGACGGAAACCCCCGUGCCCCUGCCCUCUGGCUUCUUCUCCCUGCCGGAGUCGCCCGCCCCAUUAAAACGGUGGGAGAAGGAGAAGCUUCUCCUCCUCCUCCUCCCCCCGCCCCGAAAUCCGCACCCAUAUUCCGAAAUCGAGAGGUCAAAAUCUCCGCCGGGAACGAAAUUCCCCGAUUGUUUGUCUCGUACGCGCCUGGAACGGAUUCCGGGCCUGGAGCUUCGCUGGGGAGAUCGAUUCCGGAGCCGGAGGGGAUGUCAGGGCCCCUCGACCGAUUAGCCAGGCCAUCUUUUGAAGGAUUUACACAUAAUGAUGGAAAGAAAGAGAGCAGAUCGGAUGCAGACAACUCAGAAGGAGAGAAGAAGACUAAAAUAGCCUCCUUCAAGAAAAAGGCAAUUAACGCAGGGAACAAAUUCAGACAUUCCCUAAGGAGGAGAAGCAAAAAGAAGAAUGACAAUCAGAUUUCCAUCGAGGACAUAAGACAUGUUCAAGAUCUACAGGCCGUUGAAGCAUUUCGACAAUGCUUGCUUGAUGAGGACUUGUUGCCACAACAACAUGAUGAUUACCACAUGAUGCUGAGGUUCCUGAAGGCACGGAAGUUUGAUGUUGAGAAGGCAAAGCUUAUGUGGUCUGAUAUGCUUACAUGGAGAAAGGAAUUUGGGACCGACAAUAUAGAGGAAUUUGAUUACGCUGAGUUAAACGAAGUUAUGAAGUAUUAUCCACAGUUUUACCAUGGGGUGGAUAAAGAUGGAAGACCUGUCUAUGUGGAGUUAAUAGGAAAAGUUGAUGCCAACAAGGUGCUGCAAGUAACAACUAUAGACCGAUAUGUGAAAUAUCAUGUCAAGGAGUUUGAGAAAUGUUUCCAGAUGAGAUUUCCAGCUUGCUCAAUUGCUGCAAAACGGCACCUGGACUCAUGCACAACUAUUCUGGAUGUGCAAGGCGUGGGAUUGAAGAACUUCUCGAAAUGUGCAAGGGAACUAAUCACCCGACUGCAGAAGAUUGACAGUGACAACUACCCAGAGACAUUAUGCCGGAUGUACAUAAUUAAUGCUGGCCAAGGCUUCAAGAUGUUAUGGGGCACAAUAAAGUCUUUUCUUGAUCCGAAAACUGCUUCAAAGAUUCAUGUUCUUGGAACCAAGUACCAAAAUAAGCUACUUGAAAUAAUUGAUGAGAGUGAAUUGCCAGAAUUUUUUGGUGGCAAAUGCAAGUGUGAAGAACAUGGAGGUUGUCAGAGAUCAGAUAAAGGUCCUUGGAAGGAUCCCACCACAAUAAAGAGGGUCCUGAAUGGCGAGGCAAACUACGACAGACAAAUCGUGACCAUAUCAGGCACUGAUGGCAAGAUCAUCAGUUAUGCUAGGCCACAGCGCCCAAAUCAGGGAAAGGGCAGUGAUGCAUCUGCUGAGUCUGGGUCUGAAGUGGAAGAUGUUACAUCUCCUAUUGCACCAAAGACCCUCAUAACGAAUCCUUCUUUGACCCCUGUUCAUGAGGAGUCAAAAUUUGCAGCACAUGCAUCCACGUCUGCUGCUCGCCCCACUAUUGAAGAAAGCAUCCCUGUUGUUGACAAGGUUGUGGACGACGGAUGGAGCAGCCCCAGAGCUAGUCCAGUGUCCUCUUCCUCAGGUUCAUUAUCCUUGAGAAAUCUACCGACCACAUUCGAAGGAAUUCGGACCUUGGUUGUCGCAUGGCUGACAGUCUUCAUCGUGACCCUUUUCGCCAUGCUUCGAAGUAUCCCGAGCAGAAUGGCCAAAAGGCUCUCGAACCAAUCCAAUGAUCACGACCACUAUUACGUGGACUGCCCUCAAGAGCAAGAGUACAAGGAGGAGUUCCGACCUCCGUCUCCUGCCCCGGCCUACACGGAGAAGGAAAUCCUUUCAACUCUGGUAAGACGGCUAGGUGAGCUGGAGGAGAAGGUGCAGGCGCUUGAAAAAAAGCCAUCCGAGAUGCCAUUCGAGAAGGAGGAGCUGCUCAAUGCGUCCGCCCGCCGUGUGGACGCCUUGGAAGCCGACUUGAUUUCUACAAAGAAGGCCCUCUACGAGGCGCUGAUGCGUCAGGACGAGCUGCUCGCAUUCAUCGACAAGCAAGACAUGCUCAAGUUCCGCAAGAAGAAACUCUGCUUCUGA
rnacentral:rRNA from 1 species